rnacentral:rRNA from 1 species
GACGAACGCUGGCGGCGUGCUUAACACAUGCAAGUCGAACGGUGAAGGGACCGGUUUUUGCUGGUUCUGGAUGAGUGGCGAACGGGUGAGUAACACGUGAGUAACCUGCCCCCUUCUUCUGGAUAACCGCAUGAAAGUGUGGCUAAUACGGGAUAUUCUGCGCCUGCUGCAUGGUGGGUGUGGGAAAGAUAUUUUUUCGGUGGGGGAUGGGCUCGCGGCCGAUCAGCUUGUUGGUGGGGUGGUGGCCUACCGAGGCGGUGACGGGUAGCCGGCCUGAGAGGGUGGACGGGCACAAGGGGACUGAGACACGGCCCAGACUCCUACGGGAGGCAGCAGUGGGGAAUAUUGGACAAUGGGCGCAAGACUGAUGCAGCGACGCCGCGUGAGGGAUGGAGGCCUGCGGGUUGUAAACCUCUUUCGCCAGUGAAGCAGGCCUGUCCCUUUUGUGGGUGGGUUGACGGUAGCUGGAGAAGAAGCGCCGGCUAACUACGUG